CAUUCAUCGUAAGAAGUUGUGUGGCGGACGGGUGAGCUAACACGGUGGGUAACCUGCCUAAAAGAAGGGGAUAACACUUGGAAACAGGUGCUAAUACCGUAUAUCUCUAAGGAUCGCAUGAUCCUUAGAUGAAAGAUGGUUCUGCUAUCGCUUUUAGAUGGACCCGCGGCGUAUUAACUAGUUGGUGGGGUAACGGCCUACCAAGGUGAUGAUACGUAGCCGAACUGAGAGGUUGAUCGGCCACAUUGGGACUGAGACACGGCCCAAACUCCUACGGGAGGCAGCAGUAGGGAAUCUUCCACAAUGGACGCAAGUCUGAUGGAGCAACGCCGCGUGAGUGAAGAAGGUCUUCGGAUCGUAAAACUCUGUUGUUAGAGAAGAACACGAGUGAGAGUAACUGUUCAUUCGAUGACGGUAUCUAACCAGCAAGUCACGGCUAACUACGUGCCAGCAGCCGCGGUAAUACGUAGGUGGCAAGCGUUGUCCGGAUUUAUUGGGCGUAAAGGGAACGCAGGCGGUCUUUUAAGUCUGAUGUGAAAGCCUUCGGCUUAACCGGAGUAGUGCAUUGGAAACUGGAAGACUUGAGUGCAGAAGAGGAGAGUGGAACUCCAUGUGUAGCGGUGAAAUGCGUAGAUAUAUGGAAGAACACCAGUGGCGAAAGCGGCUCUCUGGUCUGUAACUGACGCUGAGGUUCGAAAGCGUGGGUAGCAAACAGGAUUAGAUACCCUGGUAGUCCACGCCGUUAAAACGAUGAAUGCUAGGUGUUGGAGGG
rnacentral:rRNA from 1 species